GUGGCAGCAACAAGAAAGUGCUUGAGUUAAUUGAGUCUAGUUAAGCGCUGAUACAAUGCUGCCAGAGAAAUCUCAUAACCAAGAACAGUUCAGUUUGGUUAAAGUCUAUAAACUGAUCUACACGUGGUUUAACAUAU